CGUAGGUGCGAGCGUUAAUCGGAAUUACUGGGCGUAAGCGUGCGUAGGCGGCGCUGUAAGACAGAUGUGAAAUCCCCGGGCUCAACCUGGGAACUGCAUUUGUGACUGCAGUGCUAGAGUGUGUCAGAGGGGUGGAAUUCCACGUGUAGCAGUGAAAUGCGUAGAGAUGUGGAGGAACACCGAUGGCGAAGGCAGCCCCCUGGGAUAACACUGACGCUCAGGCACGAAAGCGUGGGAGCAAACAGGAUU
rnacentral:rRNA from 1 species